rnacentral:rRNA from 1 species
UGGGGAAUAUUGCACAAUGGGCGCAAGCCUGAUGCAGCCAUGCCGCGUGUGUGAAGAAGACCUUCGGGUUGUAAAGCACUUUCAGCGGGGAGGAAGGCGAUAAGGUUAAUAACCUUGUCGAUUGACGUUACCCGCAGAAGAAGCACCGGCUAACUCCGUGCCAGCAGCCGCGGUAAUACGGAGGGUGCAAGCGUUAAUCGGAAUUACUGGGCGUAAAGCGCACGCAGGCGGUCUGUCAAGUCGGAUGUGAAAUCCCCGGGCUCAACCUGGGAACUGCAUUCGAAACUGGCAGGCUAGAGUCUUGUAGAGGGGGGUAGAAUUCCAGGUGUAGCGGUGAAAUGCGUAGAGAUCUGGAGGAAUACCGGUGGCGAAGGCGGCCCCCUGGACAAAGACUGACGCUCAGGUGCGAAAGCGUGGGGAGCAAACAGG